UCCUGCCGCUUUCGCUUGCUAACUCCAUCCUGUUUUUCCAUCAUAAUCAACUUGGAGACAAAACACCGGGCACCUGUGAGCCGCGGGACUAAAGACACAGGUGUUGGGCUUUCUGGCAAAGGGCUCUCUUAACAACCCACAGCCCUUUUGGGGCUAGGAACGUUGGUUUGCCUAGAACCAGUUGUAGCUCUCUCCGCUUUCUCUGGAUCAAGCCAAGGGCAGGAUAGGGGGCAAACACUCCAGUUCUGAACUUCCGGACAUCUCUGGUCGAGUUUACGGCUUUGUGUGAAAUCCCUAAACUACAGCAGCCCCUGCCAGCGUCGCCCAGCUCUUCAGACCCGUGCCUCCUGUUCCAGAUAGUUGAGUUGAGCAUCCUAUUGCUCUGGAAAAGAUUGUGGUUUUGUUGCAAAGAAGAAGAAUGACAUUUUUGUAGGGAGAAGAGACCUGUCAAGAAUGACAGAACCUAUACUGAUGUGAAGCAAGCUGUGCAUUGAAAAAAUCUAGGAAGGUCCUAUCUCUUGUCCAAGCACAAGGAAGAAUUCAAGGUGAAGAAGGACAUGCUGGCUUCCCCUUCUGCCAUGGCUGUAAGUUUCCUGAGGCCUCCCCUGCCAUGCUGAACUAAACCUCUGUGGCGAUGGCACUUUUGCCUGAGUUCUUCUUCUAUGUCCUGGAAGAAUGAGGUACAGAGGCAACAGAUGGGUGAAGAAGAGUUUCAUUGAACAUCUCGUAAAGGUGGGUAGCUCCUCUCUAUUUGCAGGUCAUACUGUCUAGUGUUCAACUAUCAGCAAAGAGGAGGCCCUGAAGAGGGUGGUUCCUCCCUGCCGGCAAGUCAUCUGACCUCUCUGCAGGUCUCUGAAGCUCUCAGCAGAGAGGGUAGCUCCCCUCUGCUGGUGGGUUUACUCCGCAGCUCUCGGCGAAGAGGGUACUCCUCUCUACAACUGGUCAUCCUGUCUGUCAGCUCUCUGCUCUCUCUGUUUUCUGGCCAUCCUCUGCCAUGCUCUGGGUGAUCCCAGGGCUUCUAUGGCAGUGUUUUUUUAUUUGAUUAUGAACUAGGACACAUUUUUUUUCGGCUGAAAAUAAGGAAGAAAUUGGGGUUACCCAGUUUUAUCAAGACUUAAAUUGAGUUUAAAAAGGAUUGUAGAGAGAUUAAUGGAAUAGGAAAAUGUUGCAGUGUUUCAGAGCAUUGUUCACUGACGGUUUAUGGUCAGUGUCUCUGAACUUAUGAUGGAAUCAAUUCAUGUAAACACAGCUAAAAAUUCUGCAUGGAUAGUGAAAGCAAGUAGUUUUAUAAAUAUUUCUGGCUUGCACAGGUAUAUGUUCUAAAUAUAGAAGAUUACUGCAAGUGAUCCAAUCAGAAAUACCUAAAACGUAGGCUAAGAAGAAAGAGAAGAGAAAAGCAGAAUAUGACCAAUCACAGUACUUAAGGAAACAAAAAUGUGAAAAUGUGGAUCACUGAACAGGCUAUUUGGUGGUAUUUGAGUAAACAACCUAAGAAAAUUCCACUAUGUUAUCUGUGUUAAUUCUUACUGUAUUUUUGUUUUGCCUUUGUUUCUUAUUUGCUUUCAUUGUUGCUAUUAUUUGUUUUGUUUUCUGCUUUUUACUUGCAGCUGAACUAAUCCUAAGUAAUACACUGCCAAUAUUUCACAGACAUGGAGUGGUAAUUCUCUCCUUUCUUUCAGUGUACAAUGACUAAAAAAAUAAAGCAGUCUUCGUAAAGGCAAAGGUAGUCCUAGGAAAACAGUAUUUUCUAUUAAAUUGUUGCAGUAUGUGUCAUUUCUCAGAAAAUUUUUGGUAGAUGGGAGAUACAUGUAUUUUAAAUAAUUUGAAAGUUACCUAUUAGUUAAAGGUUAAUUGUGAAAGAUUACCUGUUAAAUUUUUUCUCAAUACUUAUGUUUGAAACUAAUUCACUGUCAGUUGGCAACUUCUAGUAAACAUGGUAUUUGUGUGAGAAUGCUGGGCUGGGUUGGUUUCUUUUUGAGGCACUCCAAGUAUAAAAGUAAAAAUGUUUUCUAACAUGUUUGAGCAUCAAAAAAAAAAAAAACCCUAAGAAAUAAAGAAGAGAAUAGGCAUUCUACUGACUCUCAAAUAGUUGUAGGAAAAAAAUUGUGUUUUGACUCCAGUAAACUACAUUAAAAAUAGAAUUGUCACAAACUGACAAUCCAUGACUGUUACU